UUGGUCUAGCAUAUCUAUCCAAGAGACUUAUUUGUUUGUUAUGAAAAGACACAUGUCCCCAUCGAUUUUUGUACAUGUCGGCCAAUCGUGGUGUCGGGGCUGCCCUUUAGGGGGCGCUAGUCAGUUACUUUGCCACGCCCAUUGGCAAAAUAUCUUAAUAAUUCCUUAAAACCAUAUGAAUAUUUUCAGGGGGGGGGGCUGUUGAUACACAAAUGUAGUUUGAGGGAGGUUGAACCUCGAACACUGAAGUUACAGCAAUUUCGUGUGUCACGGCGAGUUGAUGAACUUUGACGCCACGCCACUAUUAUGGCGUUUGAUGAAAAGUCACAGUAAUCUUAUGCCGUCAUUAUCAAAGUCUUGAGACCCGUUUGACACAGUUUGAUAUGGUUGCAGUAAGUGGAUGAGGAGGAAUACAUCCAAGUGGAAGACAUGCAAAGAACACCGUCGGUGCUCGGGCCCUAAUAACGUCAAUGACUAUGUCAAAAGUAACAAUAGUAACACUAAUACUGAAAAACAAGCCUUCAACCACAGACUGUAAAUGAGGAUUGACGACAUGUCAGCUCCCCCUGCUGUUUGGCUGCAGUACAGGUUCUAAACCCUGCCUCCUCCAUGUUAGCAGAUGGGACAUGGGUUAAACUAAAAAGUCAAAAUCAUCGUCGUCCAUCUUUAUUUACUGUCUAUGCCUCCAACGUACACAUGUUAACCCUUUAAUACACCGGUGGGAUGAUGUUGCUCACUGUUCUGUGUUUAUUUGUUCUUCUCUUGUCGCUGCAGCACCGAGCUGCACCCCCCACAUGCUGCUGUGAUGGAGUCUCUGCUGUCAGGGGACGACCUCGGUGCUUCUCAGUCUUAAUGAUGACAAUCGCACCACAACACUUGUUUCCUGUUCAGUCCUGUGGGAGGUUAGAAAAAGAAGCUGCACGGGAUGGUCGAUGUUGAACAAACACCUCAGCAGCCGGGAGGAGGAGACAUGUCAUCACAGCCGCUCACCGUGGAUUCACCGUUUCACGAUGUUUGGUGGAGAACUAGUUCAUCCUGAUGUCAUCAUGUUUACUUUGACAUUUUAAAUUUUUGUCUUAUUGUCUUUAUCCUAAAUGUGAUGAUACUUGAGCUGUGUUUCAAAGACAUGUUUGUCAAACAUUAAAGCACAUUUUUUUACUUUUACACAACCUGGGCCUUGGUGUCAUUGGUAUUUCCAGGAAGUAUUAAAGUUUCACACUGUUUGACGUCUGUGACGAAGGAAAUAAAGGUUCAGCUCUG